rnacentral:rRNA from 1 species
UACGUAGGGGGCAAGCGUUAUCCGGAUUUACUGGGUGUAAAGGGAGCGUAGGCGGCCAUGUAAGUCAGAAGUGAAAGCCCGGGGCUCAACCCCGGGACUGCUUUUGAGACUGUGUGGCUGGAGUGUCGGAGGGGUAAGUGGAAUUCCUAGUGUAGCGGUGAAAUGCGUAGAUAUUAGGAGGAACACCAGCGGCGAAGGCGGCUUACUGGACGAUCACUGACGCUGAGGCUCGAAAGCGUGGGGAGCAAACAGG